CCCUCCUGUCCCACCUGUCACAGUCCCGCUGCCACCUCCACGGACUGACCCCGGAGAACAUUCGUUAUGCAAACACUCUGCCAUCUGCCAUGCUGCGGAGGCUUCCAGACUAGAACAGAAACAGGUGUGGUGUCAAAGUAACUUAGUGAGGAAACAAGUUGAAGGGGGAACUCAGAAAUAGCCUGUCGAGUUGUGAGCUUUUUCCUCACCCCGGGCCCUCGGGAGCCUGGCCCGGCAGCGCCAUGUCUCACCAGUGGCCGGCUCUUUGUAAGGCUGGUGAGCAUGUUCAUGUCCACGUUCUUCCGAGGAAGGCUGGAGACUUCCACAGGAAUGACAGCAUCUAUGAUGAGCUCCAGAGACAUGACAAAGCGGAGGAGGACACCCCAGCCUUGUGGAGGUCCGAGGAGGAAAUGGCAGCAGAAGCCGCAACCCUACGGGCCUACUUUCAGUGACUGUGCAGUCACUUCCAGGCACGAAAGUAACUUGAACAAAUCCCAAGGCAUAAGGAAAUGGGCCUCGUUCUCUAGGACUCCGCGGCAUUGGAAAUGAAGCUAAGCAGACUUUAUUACAUCCUACAAUUCUGCAACCUUUUGCGAAGCAUUUUAUUACACUUGUGGAAGCCAUCGGGGUUAUGUUUCAAUCAUGAUGACUGACAGGCUAACUUCAAAAUAACAGCAUCGACAGCCCUUCCACACUUCCUGGGCUAUGUACUUAGAAUAGAACCUUGUCUAAAUUGUCCCUUGGCCUGGAUGAAAAUAAAAUGGUAGUUAAAAUAUUUAUCUUGUGUGUU
rnacentral:lncRNA from 1 species